UAGAAGCGGAAACCUCCCCAGAGCUUCCUCCCCUCCUAACUGCACCCCAGGGACCCGCAGGUGUUGCUUCCCUCCAGGCCUGAGCUGCCCAGCCAGGCCCCUGACCCCACUGGGACCCUCCCCAGAAAGCUGGUGUUUUCUGUGUCCUGAGUUGCAGCCCCCGCAUCUGGCCUGGGCAGGGGGCUGCCCUUGGUGGGCUGGGGGGCCAGCAGGAGCUUAAGCUGACACAGCUGCAGGGAGGGCGACCUGCAUGCCGAGCGCCGCCUCUGCGCCAUGGACGGCGACCAGCCCAGUCUGGAGCCCGCCGCCGCGGGCCCCAGCAUCCCCGGCCCGAGCGUGAUCGCGCCGCUGCGCGCCGUGGUCCGCCUGCGUCGCCGCGUGUGCCUCCUGCGCAAGCGGCGCCUCCUGCCGCCAGGCACCGGGCCGGCCUCCGGGGCUGGAGCGUCCAGACCCGGCUGCAGCUCCGGGGCGCCGCACGCUGACCUGGACCAGCCGCAGUUCUUCACCUUCGACGGCCCGGCGGAGCUGCAGUCCAGGACGCCGCGCAAGAGGCGCCGGCGCAGCCGUGUGGUGCUCUACCCCGAGACCUCGCGCAAGUGCCGGCCUCACGCGGAGCGCCGGAGCCGCGCGCAGCGCUGCCUGUUGCUGCUUGUGGCCAUUGUGGGCUUCCAGGUGCUCAACGCCAUCGAGAACCUGGACGAUAACGCGCAGCGCUACGACCUCGACGGGCUGGAGAAGGCGCUGCAGCGCGCCGUGUUCGGUCAGCCGGGUGCUGUGGGGCGCAUCGUGGCGCUGCUGCGGGACUACCUGGCCACGCACGUGCACAGCCGCCCGCUGCUCCUGGCGCUGCACGGGCCCAGCGGCGUGGGCAAGAGCCACGUGGGCCGCCUGCUGGCACGCCACUUCCGCGCUGUCCUCGAGGACGGCGCGCUGGUGCUGCAGUACCACGCGCGGCACCACUGCCCCGAGCCGCGUGCUGCGCAGGACUGCCGUGAGGAGCUGGCCGGGCUCGUGAACGACGUGGUGGCGCGGGCCGAGGUGGAGGAGAAGACCCCGCUCGUGGUGCUGGAUGAGGCGGAGCUCCUGCCGCUGGCGCUGCUGGACGAGCUGCAUAGCUUCCUGCAGCCGCAGCGUGCCCACCACUUCCGCAACGCCAUUUAUGUGCUCCUCAGCAGUGCGGGCGGCUCGGAAAUUACGCGCUUCGUGCUGCAGAACGCAUCCCGCGCGCUGCCCCAGCGCUCCAACGGCGCCCACGGUGCCCACGGUGACCGGGAUGGGGCGGCAGCGGUGCAGGCCGAGGAGGAGCUGCGCGCGGGCCUGCGGGCGCUCCUGGUCCGCGAGCACCCGCUGUGGCAGGCGGCGGCCAUCGUGCCCUUCCUGCUGCUGGACAAGCGGGAUGUGGUCAACUGCUUCCGGGACGAGAUGGCCGGGGAGGGCUUCUUCCCAGAGCCGGCCCGCGCUGAGCUCCUGGCGGCGCAGCUCAGUUACUACCGCGUCGCUGGCCGUGAGUUCGCCGUCACUGGCUGCAAGCAGGUGGUGGCCAGGGUGAAUCUCUUGUAGCACAGGCGCAGCUGGACAUGAUGGCCGCUAGUGGGCGCUGUGGGCACCUUUUGCGCGUGUCUCCCUGAGGGCGGUGGUCGCGUCCACGUGGACCCCACUUCUCGCAGCCGCGCUUCCCUCGAGCCCUGGGGUGGCCUCCUUGCUGCCGCUCGGUGGCGGCGCGUGGCCGCGGGGACACGUGCACAGACGCCGACGACGCUGACCACCGCUACUGCCAACGGGGGACUCGGGGAGCAGAGGCGAAGCUCUAGUUGAGCCGGCGCGGGGCUGUGCGCGCCCACCAGCCGCGGCACAGCUCAGCACGCCCCCGGCGCCCCGCAGACCCCGGCACCAGCGCAGGCCGGCUCGCUGGGGCUCCCCCGUGGGGGGGCACCCCCGCGCCAUCCCUUCUCGUCCUGGCGGUCGGCGGCGGCCCUGGGCCGAGGUCUGCCGGAAAGAGAGGGAAGCCGCACGGGGGGAAGCACGGGGACCGGGGGCCCAGGUCUUCUCAGAAUGACCUCACGGAGCCUGACCAGUGGAAAAUAUGACAGAACCAGGCCAAGAUCUUUGAGUGUAUGGAGUUGCUGAUGGGUGAAGUGCAGUGAUUAGUGGGCAGCUGAGACUUCUGGACGAACAGACACCGUCCUUCCAGAACAGAAUGACCUUCAGAACAAGUAGCCCAUUCUUUUAAACACCCUUCAGGAUCAGAAAGCUUCAUCUUGUGAAGAUGUGCUUUGCAGGUUUUGAAAUAAUCCAAAGUCCCUCAGGGCCAAGUUGGAUGACACAUUUUGGGACCAAGUUGUAAAGUUAUGAGACUGAUGUUCGAGAGUGUCUCGAAGGUGGUUUCAUUCACAUUACUGGAUUACAGGGCUCAGUAUCCAGGAGGAGGGGAUGAACUGUGACACACUGGUGACGCUGGAAAUGGGCGGCGGGCGUGGGCCUGCGCUCUCCGGAGUUUUCUGAGGUGUCCUUGUGACGCCAGCGCCUUUGUUGAGCUUCGAAUAAAAUGAAAAGAAACCACCCACAAAAAGACAGCACAGGAAGCCUUGAGAAGGAGUACUUUAUUAACAACAUGACCUUGAGAAUUCAAAGUGCUGGGUUACUUAUUACUUCCCUCCCCGAUAAGGAAGAGGGAGAGUGAGCCGAAGAGAACCAGGAAUGGGGGCCUGCCGGGCAAAGGGCUGGUUGCAUCUGCUCUCUCUGGGGUGCCGGGAGCAGAGGCUUCCUGAGGCCCUUCCUCAGCCUCCGAAAGUAGUUUGAUUUCCCGAUGGCUACGCAAGCAUUGCAUUGUUUGCCUGCUCUGCAGCACGGGGCUUACUGUGGAAAUUGGGACCAGAAGGCACAACUGACCUUAACUCACUAGACUCAUCAGCACACACGCCCUGGGUGCCAGUGUCCCGCCUCUCCCAUUUCCCUUGGGGCCUGGGCAGUCGGCUGCAUCAGGCUGGCAGCGGGCCAUCCCAGGGCAGCCCGAGGCUGGUUCUGUCCCGCGCUCAGGAGCGCCCCUGUUUUCUUCCUGUUCGGCCCACCAUUGGACAGUUUUAAUCCCUAGAAAGUUCUUCAGUACAAACUUCCAAGCCUAUAGUGUUGGGUGUAUUUGCAGCCAGGAAGGACAAGAGCAUAAAGCACAGGCAGUUCUGCCUGGUGACGGAGGGAACGGUCAAGGAAAGGUUCCUGAGACGUCUCUGGUGCAGAAAGCUGGUUUUACUAAAGCACAAGGACGGGGCCCGUGGGCAGAAAGAGCGACACUGGAGUUGUGAGGGGCAGCCCAUUGUGCACUCUCAAGUUGGGAGCAGGGUGGGGACAGGUAUUUUGGAAGCAAGAUUUCCAGGAUCCUGAGGGGGCCGGCUGUUCU